CUUGGUCAUUUAGAGGAAGUAAAAGUCGUAACAAGGUCUCCGUUGGUGAACCAGCGGAGGGAUCAUUACCGAGUUUACAACUCCCAAACCCCUGUGAACAUACCAAUUGUUGCCUCGGCGGAUCAGCCCGCUCCCGGUAAAACGGGACGGCCCGCCAGAGGACCCCUAAACUCUGUUUCUAUAUGUAACUUCUGAGUAAAACCAUAAAUAAAUCAAAACUUUCAACAACGGAUCUCUUGGUUCUGGCAUCGAUGAAGAACGCAGCAAAAUGCGAUAAGUAAUGUGAAUUGCAGAAUUCAGUGAAUCAUCGAAUCUUUGAACGCACAUUGCGCCCGCCAGUAUUCUGGCGGGCAUGCCUGUUCGAGCGUCAUUUCAACCCUCAAGCCCAGCUUGGUGUUGGGACUCGCGAGUCAAAUCGCGUUCCCCAAAUUGAUUGGCGGUCACGUCGAGCUUCCAUAGCGUAGUAGUAAAACCCUCGUUACUGGUAAUCGUCGCGGCCACGCCGUUAAACCCCAACUUCUGAAUGUUGACCUCGGAUCAGGUAGGAAUACCCGCUGAACUUAAGCAUAUCAAUAAGCGGAGGAAAAGAAACCAACAGGGAUUGCCCUAGUAACGGCGAGUGAAGCGGCAACAGCUCAAAUUUGAAAUCUGGCUCUCGGGCCCGAGUUGUAAUUUGUAGAGGAUACUUUUGAUGCGGUGCCUUCCGAGUUCCCUGGAACGGGACGCCAUAGAGGGUGAGAGCCCCGUCUGGUUGGAUGCCAAAUCUCUGUAAAGUUCCUUCGACGAGUCGAGUUGUUUGGGAAU
rnacentral:sRNA from 1 species